rnacentral:lncRNA from 1 species
AGUUGAGCAGUGGGACUCCUCCCCUAUGAGACUUACACACGUGAGACUGUGCACGAGCCUCGAGUUCGCCGAGAGAUUGGGUAACCUGAUGAGUUACAUUAUUAUGGUGCAUAAUAGCUUGGUACUUAGCCCUAGCCUUAUUGAUGAACCUAGUAGUAUGGUAGUUAGCCUUUACUAUGAGUUACAUCGAUAUUGAGCAUAGUCGCUUGGUAGUUAGAUUAGUGGAUUUGCCUACAUACAGUGAGUGGACAUACUAUUCCUUCACCUAUGAGAUUUGAGCGGG